GCGCAGGCGAGAAACCUUCGCAAUGCGGGAAGCCGCGACGAGGGGACUCCCAGUGCCUACGCUCAGCGUAGGCUGUUCCCGAGCCUAGAAAGCUCGGGGAGUAAGGGCUGGGUAAGACGGGUGCCAGCCGCCGCGGUAAUACCCGCAGCCCGAGUGGUGGCCACUAUUAUUGGGCCUAAAGCGUCCGUAGCCGGCCCGGUAAAUGCCUGGGUAAAUCGUGAGGCCUAACCUCACGAAUUCCGGGUAGACUGCCGGGCUAGGGACCGGAGGAGGGAGAGGGUACUCCAGGGGUAGGGGUGAAAUCCUGUAAUCCCUGGAGGACCACCGGUGGCGAAGGCGCUCUCCUAGGACGGGUCCGACGGUGAGGGACGAAAGCCAGGGGAGCGAACCGGAUUAGAUACCCCUGUAGU
rnacentral:rRNA from 1 species